UCAAGUGUUGGCCGAGACCCGGUUUCUUGUGUUGCGUACCGACACGAAGGCAUGUGUACUUGUCCCGGCGGUCCCUACGUUCGUUUAGUGCUCCCCGUUUCGGUUGGGGCACAAGACGAAACUCGUAUCUCGGUCCGUUACCCACGUCGCGUCCGGCUGUCGCGGUGAACGGGCGGUGCUAAACCUCUCGGAUACGGAAAGCAUUGAGGGCGGCGACAUCAGGUCCUUGCCCGAGCGUGCGGCGGAUAGACCCUGACGACGGUGCACGACAGUCGCUCCCGCCUCGGUUCGGCCGUGCGGGCAGGACGUCGUUGAGGAUUGCUACCUGGUUGAUCCUGCCAGUA
rnacentral:misc_RNA from 1 species